AAGUGUCUUGUGACAUUGUAUAGGAGCGUCGAUACAAUGUGCUACAAGGUCGACUGCAAGAAGUGCGGGAAGUACACAUGGGGUGGCUGCGGCAAGCAUCUGACCACCCUCUAUAACAGCAUCGAGAAGGGCAAGCACUGCAUGUGCACCUCGUGGCCCGGCGUCGUUAUGCCCUCGUCGACGUCGGAGCAAGCAUCAGCUUCGUCUGCUGCUGGUAAGUAAGAUGGGAGAUCUUCAAGAUGCACGAAGUCCCCCAACGUUCUUAGAUCUUGGUGGGGGCUAAUGAAAUCAGAAGCACUAAAUAAAGAGGAGAGAGAAAACCCUAGUAGCGUGGACACGAUCGUGUCCCUUGUUUUUAUGCAACAUCAUAAUUUUUCCAAUGCUUGGCUUGGAAGACUGGCGUGUCGGUAGAUAGACAGAGAUUGGGAAUAAAUGAUGGCGGAGGGUUCGGGCGUGGUCAACGUAAAUUGACCAAUGAUGCUCGAAUCAGUGUGGUGUCGUGCUGCUGCUCACGAGCAUGUAAAAUAUUCAAAAGUUGAAACCCCGUGCAGAGUGCAUCGUGCUAUAA